GGGGAAUCUUCCGCAAUGGGCGAGGACUGACGGAGCAAUACCGCGUGAGGGAGGAAGGCUUUUGGGUUGUAAACCUCAAAACUUAGGGAAGAAAAAAAUGACGGUACCUAAUCUAAGCAUCGGCUAACUCCGUGCCAGCAGCCGCGGUAAUACGGAGGAUGCAAGCGUUAUCCGGAAUUAUUGGGCGUAAAGAGUCCGUAGGUGGCAAUUCAAGUCUGCCGUCAAAGACUAGAGCUUAACUCUGGAAAGGCGGUGGAAACUGAAGAGCUAGGGUUCGGGAGGGGUAGAGGGAAUUCCCAGUGUAGCGGUGAAAUGCGUAGAGAUUGGGAAGAACACCAGUGGCGAAGGCGCUCUACUGGACCGAAACUGACACUGAGGGACGAAAGCUAAGGGAGCGAAAGGGAUUAGAUACCCCUGUAGUC
rnacentral:rRNA from 1 species